rnacentral:rRNA from 1 species
GGAGAAUUAGGGUUCGAUUCCGGAGAGGGAGCCUGAGAAACGGCUACCACAUCUACGGAAGGCAGCAGGCGCGUAAAUUACCCAAUCCUGAUUCAGGGAGGUAGUGACAAGAAAUAACAACUCGGGGCCUCACGGCUUACGAGAUUGCAAUGAGAACAAUUUAAAUCUCUUAGCGAGGAACAAUUGGAGGGCAAGUCUGGUGCCAGCAGCCGCGGUAAUUCCAGCUCCAAUAGCGUAUAUUAAAGUUGUUGCAGUUAAAAAGCUCGUAGUUGAAUUUCUGAUUAUGGAUGUAGCGGUUUCCGUUACAUUUGUAGUCAUCCACAUGAGAACCUUUUUUGGCCUUUAUUGGUCGGUUGGGGGAUCAUGUACUUUACUUGAAAAAAUCAGAGUGUUUCAGGCAGGCGUUUGCAUGAAUACACAAGCAUGGAAUAAUGGAAUAGGACUAGGGUCCAUUUUAUGGUUAUUGGACCUAUAGUAAUGAUUAAUAGGGACAGUUGGGGG